GAGCGAGAGGGAGAGAGAGAGAGAGAGAGAGGGGAGACGGAGGAGGGAGAAAGGCAGGGGGUUAGGUGAGAGAAGAAAGACAGCGAGCUAGAGACGGCGAGCUAGAGAGAGAGAGCAAUAGCGAGCUAGAGAGAGAGUGACAGCGUGCUAGAGAGAGACAGCGAGCUAGAGAGAAACAGCGAGCUAGAGAGAAAGAGCGACAGAGAGCUAAAGAGAGCGACAUCGAGCUAGAGAGAGAGACAGCGAGCUAGAGAGAGAGACAGCGAGCUAGAGAGAGCGACAGCGAGCUAGAGAGAGAGCGACAGCGAGCUAGAGAGAGAGCGACAGCGAGCUAGAGAGAGCGACAGCGAGCUAGAGAGAGAGCGACAGCGAGCUAGAGAGAGAGCGACAGCGAGCUAGAGAGAGCGACAGCGAGCUAGAGAGAGAGCGACAGCGAGCUAGAGAGAGAGCGACAGCGAGCUAGAGAGAGAGCGACAGCGAGCUAGAGAGAGAGCGACAGCGAGCUAGAGAGAGAGCGACAGCGAGCUAGAGAGAGAGCGACAGCGAGCUAGAGAGAGCGACAGCGAGCUAGAGAGAGAGCGACAGCGAGCUAGAGAGAGAGCGACAGCGAGCUAGAGAGAGAGUGACAGCGAGCUAGAGAGAGAGCGACAGAGAGCUAGAGAGAGAGCGACAGCGAGCUAGAGAGAGACAGAGAGAACGGAGACAGGUAGAGACGUACUGUAGGUUGAACCAGAUCCAGGAGAGACGUAGGUUGGACCAGAUCCAGGAGAGACAGGUAGAGACGAAUGUAGGACCAGAUCCAGGAGAGAAAGGUAGAGACUAAUGUAGAUGGAGGUGAGGUAGACAGGUAGAGACUAAUGUAGAUGGAGGUGAAGUAGACAGAGGUCCAGGUGAAUGUAGAUGGAGAUGAGGUAGACAGGUAGAGACUAAUGUAGAUGGAGAUGAGGUAGACAGGUAGAGACUAAUGUAGAUGGAGAUGAGGUAGACAGGUAGAGACUAAUGUAGAUGGAGGUGAGGUAGACAGGUAGAGACUAAUGUAGAUGGAGGUGAGGUAGACAGGUAGAGACUAAUGUAGAUGGAGGUGAGGUAGACAGGUAGAGACUAAUGUAGAUGGAGGUGAGGUAGACAGGUAGAGACUAAUGUAGAUGGAGGUAAGGUAGACAGGUAGAGAUGAAUGGAGAUGGAGGUGAGGUUGACAGAGGUCCAGGUGAAUGUAGAUGGAGGUGAGGUAGACAGGUAGAGACUAAUGUAGAUGGAAAUGAGGUAGACAGGUUGAGAUUAAUGGAGAUGGAGAUGAGGUAGACAGGUAGAGACUAAUGUAGAUGGAGGUGAGGUAGACAGGUAGAGACUAAUGUAGAUGGAGGUAAGGUAGACAGGUAGAGAUGAAUGGAGAUGGAGGUGAGGUAGACAGGUAGAGACUAAUGUAGAUGGAGGUGAGGUAGACAGGUAGAGACUAAUGUAGAUGGAGGUGAGGUAGACAGGUAGAGACUAAUGUAGAUGGAGGUGAGGUAGACAGGUAGAGACUAAUGUAGAUGGAGGUGAGGUAGACAGGUAGAGACUAAUGUAGAUGGAGAUGAGGUAGACAGGUUGAGAUUAAUGGAGAUGGAGAUGAGGUAGACAGGUAGAGACUAAUGUAGAUGGAGAUGAGGUAGACAGGUUGAGAUUAAUGGAGAUGGAGAUGAGGUAGACAGGUAGAGACUAAUGUAGAUGGAGAUGAGGUAGACAGGUAGAGACUAAUGUAGAUGGAGAUGAGGUAGACAGGUUGAGAUUAAUGGAGAUGGAGAUGAGGUAGACAGGUAGAGACUAAUGUAGAUGGAGAUGAGGUAGACAGGUUGAGAUUAAUGGAGAUGGAGAUGAGGUAGACAGGUAGAGACUAAUGUAGAUGGAGGUAAGGUAGACAGAGG